rnacentral:ribozyme from 1 species
GAGAAAAAGGGAAAAAUAAAAAACAGAGUCGAUCGUAUCGCUUCCUACCAUCUUCCGUUUUAUUUUUCUUCUUCGGCUGUCUUCAAUUUUUAUUAAUCUAUU